rnacentral:rRNA from 1 species
CCUACGGGAGGCAGCAGUAGGGAAUUUUCGUCAAUGGGCGCAAGCCUGAACGAGCAAUGCCGCGUGAACGAGGACGGUCUUCGGAUCGUAAAGCUCUGUUGAUGGGGAAAAAGAGCGGAGAGAGGAAAUGCUUUCUGAUUGAUAUUACACUUCGAGGAAGUCACGGCUAACUACGUGCCAGCAGCCUCGGUCAUACGAAGGUGGCGAGAGUUAUCCGGAAUGAUUGGGCGUAAAGGGUGCGUAGGCGGCCUGCUCAGUCUGGGGUGAAAGGUACGGGCUCAACCGGUACGGGAUGUUGAAACUGGUGGUCGAGAGGGGGGGAGAGGGCUGUGGAACGCGAGGUGUAGCGGUAAAAUGCGUAGAUAUAAGGAGGAACACCAGUGGCGAAGGCGGCGAUCUGGCCUGCAACUGACGCUCAGGCCCGAAAGCGUGGGGAGCGAAUAGGAUUAGAUACCCGGGUAGUC